UACGUAGGGUGCGAGCGUUGUCCGGAAUUAUUGGGCGUAAAGAGCUCGUAGGCGGUGUGUCACGUCGGCCGUGAAAACCUGCAGCUUAACUGUGGGCGUGCGGUCGAUACGGGCAUCACUGGAGUUCGGCAGGGGAGACUGGAAUUCCUGGUGUAGCGGUGAAAUGCGCAGAUAUCAGGAGGAACACCGGUGGCGAAGGCGGGUCUCUGGGCCGAUACUGACGCUGGAGGAGCGAAAGCCGUGGGGAGCAAACAGG
rnacentral:rRNA from 1 species